CCGGGCAUUGCCUCAGUAACGGCGAGUGAAGCGGCAACAGCUCAAAUUUGAAAUCUGGCCCUAGGCCCGAGUUGUAAUUUGCAGAGGAUGCUUUUGGUGCGGUGCCUUCCAAGUUCCCUAGAACGGGACGCCAGAGAGGGUGAGAGCCCCGUACAGUUGGACACCAAGCCUUUGUAAAGCUCCUUCGACGAGUCGAGUAGUUUGGGAAUGCUGCUCAAAAUGGGAGGUAUAUUUCUUCUAAAGCUAAAUACCGGCCAGAGACCGAUAGCGCACAAGUAGAGUGAUCGAAAGAUGAAAAGCACUUUGAAAAGAGGGUUAAACAGCACGUGAAAUUGUUAAAAGGGAAGCGCUUGUGACCAGACUUGCGUCCGGUGAAUCACCCAGCUCUCGCGGCUGGGGCACUUCGCCGGCUCAGGCCAGCAUCAGCUCGCUGUCGGGGACAAAAGCUUCAGGAACGUAGCUCUCUUCGGGGAGUGUUAUAGCCUGUUGCAUAAUACCCUUCGGCGGGCUGAGGUACGCGCUCCGCAAGGAUGCUGGCAUAAUGGUCAUCAGCGACCCGUCUUAAAACAC
rnacentral:rRNA from 1 species